rnacentral:rRNA from 1 species
GGGGAAUUUUGGACAAUGGGGGAAACCCUGAUCCAGCAAUGCCGCGUGAGUGAAGAAGGCCUUAGGGUUGUAAAGCUCUUUCGCCCGCGAAGAUAAUGACGGUAGCGGGAGAAGAAGCCCCGGCUAACUCCGUGCCAGCAGCCGCGGUAAUACGGAGGGGGCUAGCGUUGUUCGGAAUUACUGGGCGUAAAGCGUACGUAGGCGGAUGCGCAAGUUGGGGGUGAAAUCCCGGGGCUUAACCUCGGAAUUGCCCUCAAAACUGCACGUCUUGAGACCGAGAGAGGUAAGGGGAAUUCCUAGUGUAGAGGUGAAAUUCGUAGAUAUUAGGAAGAACACCAGUGGCGAAGGCGCCUUACUGGCUCGGUACUGACGCUGAGGUACGAAAGCGUGGGGAGCAAACA